UACUUGCUAAAUUAGAACCACCGAAA
rnacentral:sRNA from 1 species